rnacentral:tRNA from 1 species
UCCCUGACAGUCCAGUGGCUAAGACUCUGCGUUUCCAAUGCAGGGGGCACAGGGUCAAUCCCUGGUCAGGGAA